rnacentral:rRNA from 1 species
GACGAACGCUGGCGGCGUGCUUAACACAUGCAAGUGGAGCGACGAACCAGGGCUUGCCCUGGGGCAAAGCCGCGAACGGGUGAGUAACACGUGGGUAACCUGCCCCGAUGACUGGGACAACCCGAGGAAACUCGGGCUAAUACCGGAUGUGCUCGAGCGCCAUCAGGCGCUUCAGGAAAGGAAGCUUCGGCCUCCGCAUCGGGAUGGGCCCGCGGCCCAUUAGCUUGUUGGUGAGGUAACGGCUCACCAAGGCCGCGAUGGGUAGCUGGUCUGAGAG